GGUUAAGCGACUAAGCGUACACGGUGGAUGCCCUGGCAGUCAGAGGCGAUGAAGGACGUGCUAAUCUGCGAUAAGCGUCGGUGAGGUGAUAUGAACCGUUAUAACCGGCGAUUUCCGAAUGGGGAAACCCAGUGUGUUUCGACACACUAUCAUUAACUGAAUCCAUAGGUUAAUGAGGCGAACCGGGGGAACUGAAACAUCUAAGUACCCCGAGGAAAAGAAAUCAACCGAGAUUCCCCCAGUAGCGGCGAGCGAACGGGGAGGAGCCCAGAGCCUGAAUCAGUGUGUGUGUUAGUGGAAGCGUCUGGAAAGGCGCGCGAUACAGGGUGACAGCCCCGUACACAAAAAUGCACAUACUGUGAGCUCGAUGAGUAGGGCGGGACACGUGGUAUCCUGUCUGAAUAUGGGGGGACCAUCCUCCAAGGCUAAAUACUCCUGACUGACCGAUAGUGAACCAGUACCGUGAGGGAAAGGCGAAAAGAACCCCGGCGAGGGGAGUGAAAAAGAACCUGAAACCGUGUACGUACAAGCAGUGGGAGCCUCUUAAUGGGGUGACUGCGUACCUUUUGUAUAAUGGGUCAGCGACUUAUAUUCUGUAGCAAGGUUAACCGAAUAGGGGAGCCGAAGGGAAACCGAGUCUUAACUGGGCGUUAAGUUGCAGGGUAUAGACCCGAAACCCGGUGAUCUAGCCAUGGGCAGGUUGAAGGUUGGGUAACACUAACUGGAGGACCGAACCGACUAAUGUUGAAAAAUUAGCGGAUGACUUGUGGCUGGGGGUGAAAGGCCAAUCAAACCGGGAGAUAGCUGGUUCUCCCCGAAAGCUAUUUAGGUAGCGCCUCGUGAAUUCAUCUCCGGGGGUAGAGCACUGUUUCGGCAAGGGGGUCAUCCCGACUUACCAACCCGAUGCAAACUGCGAAUACCGGAGAAUGUUAUCACGGGAGACACACGGCGGGUGCUAACGUCCGUCGUGAAGAGGGAAACAACCCAGACCGCCAGCUAAGGUCCCAAAGUCAUGGUUAAGUGGGAAACGAUGUGGGAAGGCCCAGACAGCCAGGAUGUUGGCUUAGAAGCAGCCAUCAUUUAAAGAAAGCGUAAUAGCUCACUGGUCGAGUCGGCCUGCGCGGAAGAUGUAACGGGGCUAAACCAUGCACCGAAGCUGCGGCAGCGACACUAUGUGUUGUUGGGUAGGGGAGCGUUCUGUAAGCCUGUGAAGGUGUACUGUGAGGUAUGCUGGAGGUAUCAGAAGUGCGAAUGCUGACAUAAGUAACGAUAAAGCGGGUGAAAAGCCCGCUCGCCGGAAGACCAAGGGUUCCUGUCCAACGUUAAUCGGGGCAGGGUGAGUCGACCCCUAAGGCGAGGCCGAAAGGCGUAGUCGAUGGGAAACAGGUUAAUAUUCCUGUACUUGGUGUUACUGCGAAGGGGGGACGGAGAAGGCUAUGUUGGCCGGGCGACGGUUGUCCCGGUUUAAGCGUGUAGGCUGGUUUUCCAGGCAAAUCCGGAAAAUCAAGGCUGAGGCGUGAUGACGAGGCACUACGGUGCUGAAGCGACAAAUGCCCUGCUUCCAGGAAAAGCCUCUAAGCAUCAGGUAACAUCAAAUCGUACCCCAAACCGACACAGGUGGUCAGGUAGAGAAUACCAAGGCGCUUGAGAGAACUCGGGUGAAGGAACUAGGCAAAAUGGUGCCGUAACUUCGGGAGAAGGCACGCUGAUAUGUAGGUGAAGCGACUUGCUCGUGGAGCUGAAAUCAGUCGAAGAUACCAGCUGGCUGCAACUGUUUAUUAAAAACACAGCACUGUGCAAACACGAAAGUGGACGUAUACGGUGUGACGCCUGCCCGGUGCCGGAAGGUUAAUUGAUGGGGUUAGCGGUAACGCGAAGCUCUUGAUCGAAGCCCCGGUAAACGGCGGCCGUAACUAUAACGGUCCUAAGGUAGCGAAAUUCCUUGUCGGGUAAGUUCCGACCUGCACGAAUGGCGUAAUGAUGGCCAGGCUGUCUCCACCCGAGACUCAGUGAAAUUGAACUCGCUGUGAAGAUGCAGUGUACCCGCGGCAAGACGGAAAGACCCCGUGAACCUUUACUAUAGCUUGACACUGAACAUUGAGCCUUGAUGUGUAGGAUAGGUGGGAGGCUUUGAAGUGUGGACGCCAGUCUGCAUGGAGCCGACCUUGAAAUACCACCCUUUAAUGUUUGAUGUUCUAACGUGGGCCCCUUACCGGGGUUGCGGACAGUGUCUGGUGGGUAGUUUGACUGGGGCGGUCUCCUCCUAAAGAGUAACGGAGGAGCACGAAGGUUGGCUAAUCCUGGUCGGACAUCAGGAGGUUAGUGCAAUGGCAUAAGCCAGCUUGACUGCGAGCGUGACGGCGCGAGCAGGUGCGAAAGCAGGUCAUAGUGAUCCGGUGGUUCUGAAUGGAAGGGCCAUCGCUCAACGGAUAAAAGGUACUCCGGGGAUAACAGGCUGAUACCGCCCAAGAGUUCAUAUCGACGGCGGUGUUUGGCACCUCGAUGUCGGCUCAUCACAUCCUGGGGCUGAAGUAGGUCCCAAGGGUAUGGCUGUUCGCCAUUUAAAGUGGUACGCGAGCUGGGUUUAGAACGUCGUGAGACAGUUCGGUCCCUAUCUGCCGUGGGCGCUGGAGAACUGAGGGGGGCUGCUCCUAGUACGAGAGGACCGGAGUGGACGCAUCACUGGUGUUCGGGUUGUCAUGCCAAUGGCACUGCCCGGUAGCUAAAUGCGGAAGAGAUAAGUGCUGAAAGCAUCUAAGCACGAAACUUGCCCCGAGAUGAGUUCUCCCUGACUCCUUGAGAGUCCUGAAGGAACGUUGAAGACGACGACGUUGAUAGGCCGGGUGUGUAAGCGCAGCGAUGCGUUGAGCUAACCGGUACUAAUGAACCGUGAGGCUUAACCUU
rnacentral:rRNA from 3 species